UCUGGUCUUGUCAGUCUCUACGUGAGUAGCUACCAUUCAGGCUCCCUUAGUGGUGACCUCGGGUAUGAAGCGCUAUCCGCUUUCUCCAGCUUUCUCCAGCUUUCUCCAGCUUUCUCCAGAACAGAGGAAAGGACUCGACUGUUAACUGUGUUCGUACCCUUUGAACUGUUGGUGCCAUCCCUGCUCAGGCGGACAGCUACGAGGGACUUUCUAGGCCAGUGGAUCUCAACCAGGGCGGCGCGGAGCGAUCGGAAGGAAGGAGUCUCCAGUGUCAGAAGUAAAGAGUUCAGGGAUUCAUUUGGGAACAGGUCAGCAGAGCUUUAGGAGGGAAUGAGGAGGAGAAGAGGCAUUCUGAUGGCAUUUUGGCAUAUGG
ensembl:lncRNA